CCCUUUCAAAUAAAAUUAUUGUAUAGGGAGCAAUAAAUUGAUUUUGUUCUCUUCUUUUGCUAUUUAUCGAUUCGAUUUUGAGAUUGUAUCGACUUUCGACACAACAUUAUGUAACCGCGGCCCUGCAUCAAACAUACAAACGGUGAUCGUUGAUGUCAUUGGUCGUGCUACAUUAUGUCGAAAAUAUAUUUACAUAUCCCUGUUACUCAAAAUCGAAUUAAAUAGCAAACCAAAGAACAAAAUCAAUUUCGUGUUCCCUAUACAAAAAUUUUAUUUUAACAUUAGAACAAAAUCAACGUAAAUAGAUAAUGUUUGGAAAAUAUUGACCAUUUGCAGUGUUUCUCACAAUGAAAAAACUUGCUUACCUGAGGAGUAAAAUGAAAUCAAAUGCCAGGAAGCUCAGUUCAUCAAAAUUCAAUGGAAAGUAUUUUUUCAUGUUUAAAAAACUACCUACAAUUGUGCGGAAUUUAAGAAACACUUCGCUUGGAGUACCUGAAAUCAUUGGAUCAAAAGAAGAAAAUCAUGGAAGUGACGAGUGCCCAUAUGCUGCUUGUCUUCAAGAGUUUAUUGAAAUUCAUGAUUUGAGUACAAACUUUUUUGCUUUUCGCGUAUUAAUGUGUGUUUUGAUCAAUUUAUCAAUAACAUCCAAAUUAUGUUAUAAAAGAGUGAUAAAAAAUUUUGGAUUAUUGUUCUUAAAAGAAACAAAAAACUGUUGUGUUGUUCUUAAAAAUGCAUAUGGUUAUUUCCCAUAUACUUUCGGUGACCAAUAAUUUUGGUUGAAAAUAGAGUACAUCGGCUGAAAAGUUGCGACCCCAUAUAGGACAAAAAUAAAUGUAAAUUAUUUGGAGCUGCACCUGACCAGAAUAUCACAAACCGGGUGCCCUGCUCAUAAGCCUUAUUUAUAUCUUUGUGUUUGCGGGAGUCCAUGCACUUAUAUAUGCAUUAUUAUACCCUCCACCAUACAUAGUAUGGAGGGUAUAUUAAGUUUGUCAUUCCGUUUGUAACACCUCGAAAUAUACAUUUUAGACCCCACAAAGUAUAUAUAUUCUUGAUCAGCGUAAAAUUCUAUGUCGAUUUAUCGAUGUCCGUCCGUCUGUGGAAAUCACUCUAGCUUCCGAACGAAAUGACAUAGGUUGAUGAAAUUUUGCUCAGAUGUAUAUAAUGUGUGCAGGACUUUUGGUAUUGAAAAUGGGCCAUAUAGGUCGACGUCUUCGUAUAGCCCCCAUAUAACGGUACCUCCCGAUAUUCGGUAUUUUGAUGAUUUUAGCAACAUUUUUCACCAGAAUUGUUUCAAAUUUCGUAUUUAAUUUUCGCAAUGGGUACUACAACCUAUGCCAGUAAAAUAUCUACGCAGAUCCACAUCUUCGGAUAGCCCCUAUAUAACGGUACCUCCCGAUAUUCGGUAUUUUGAUGAUUUUAGCGACAUUUUUCACCGGAAUUGUUUCAAAUUUCGUAUUUAAUUUUCGCAAUGGGUACUACAACCUAUGCCAGUAAAAUAUCUACGCAGAUCCACAUCUUCGGAUAGCUCCCAUAUAACGGUACCUCCCGAUAUUCGGUAUUUUGAUGAUUUUAGCGACAUUUUUCACCGGAAUUGUUUCAAAUUUCGUAUUUAAUUUUCGCAAUGGGUACUACAACCUAUGACAGAAAAUGGCCUAUGUAGGUCCACAUCUUCGGAUAGCCCCCAUAUAACGGUACCUCCCGAUGUUCGGUAUUUUGGUGAUUUUAGUGACAUUUUUCACCGGAAUUGUUUCAAAUUUCGCAUUUAAUAUUCGCAAUGGGUACUACAACCUAUGCCAGUAAAAUAUCUACGCAGAUCCACAUCUUCGGAUAGCCCCCAUAUAACGGUACCUCCCGAUAUUCGGUAUUUUGAUGAUUUUAGCGACAUUUUUCACCGGAAUUGUUUCAAAUUUCGUAUUUAAUUUUCGCAAUGGGUACUACAACCUAUGACAGAAAAUGGUCUAUGUAGGUCCACAUCUUCGGAUAGCCCCCAUAUAACGGUACCUCCCGAUGUUCGGUAUUUUGGUGAUUUUAGCGACAUUUUUCACCGGAAUUGUUUCAAAUUUCGCAUUUAAUAUUCGCAAUGGGUACUACAACCUAUGCCAGUAAAAUAUCUACGCAGAUCCACAUCUUCGGAUAGCCCCCAUAUAACGGUACCUCCCGAUAUUCGGUAUUUUGAUGAUUUUAGCGACAUUUUUCACCGGAAUUGUUUCAAAUUUCGUAUUUAAUUUUCGCAAUGGGUACUACAACCUAUCUAUGCAGGUCCACAUCUUCGCUUAGCCCCCAUAUAACGGUAUCUCCCGAUAUUCAGUAUUUUUUCAUUUUAGCUUUAUUUUUCGACGGAUUUUUUAAAAUUUCAAAUUCCUUCUAAAUGAUGGAAGGUAUUAAAAGUUCGGCCCGGCCGAAAUUGGCUGCUUAUUUACUUGUUUUGUGUAAAUAAAUUCAGCCUUUCUUGGUCCAAACUACCCCAAAUGCUGCUGUUAUUAAAAUUUAGUUCAACAAGUUUCCUUUUCUGCCUAAGUCUUAAAACCGAAAUUUUAAUAGAAUGUGUUUAUACCCUACACCACAUGGUGGUAAGGGUAUUAUGUAUUUGUGAAUUUGUUUGUAACAGAGAGAAAUAAGCGAGAUAGACCCAUGGUUACUUUUGAAGAUAUUCAUAGAAUAAUUUUUUUAAUCGAUUUAUGCAUGUCCGUCCAUGUAUUCUUGUGAACAAAAUGCAGGUCGUAUUUAUUAUCCGAUUGAGAUGUAAUUUUGCAAACAAUGUUUGUUUGGUUUGGAUCAGAUUUAGAUAUAGCUCCCAUAUAUAUCUUCAUCCGAUUUUUGGUUUAUUGUGCACAACCUGUGCAAUAAUAA